UUUUGUUGCACGCUGCCAUAUAUACCCUGC
rnacentral:piRNA from 1 species